UACGGAGGGAGCUAGCGUUGUUCGGAAUUACUGGGCGUAAAGCGCGCGUAGGUGGUUCGUUAAGUUGGAUGUGAAAUCCCCGGGCUCAACCUGGGAACUGCAUUCAAAACUGUCGAGCUAGAGUAUGGUAGAGGGUGGUGGAAUUUCCUGUGUAGCGGUGAAAUGCGUAGAUAUAGGAAGGAACACCAGUGGCGAAGGCGACCACCUGGACUGAUACUGACACUGAGGUGCGAAAGCGUGGGGAGCAAACAGG
rnacentral:rRNA from 1 species